GCGCGCCACCGCGCUUGAGGUGCCUGCGCGUUUCCAACGCGCAGGUUGAACGGGAAACAGGUGCGAAAGGCAGGAUUGAGGAAUCAGGAUUCAGGAUUGAGAGGACAGGCCGCGAUUGCGCAUAACGCGCCCGUGCCGGUUCCUCGAUCCUCAGUCCUCGAUCCUCAGUCCUGUGUUUCAACUCCUGUGCUGCCCCCGCAACGGUAAGCGAGCGGUCUCACCGGCCGUCGAGGCGCCAGCAAGCCACUGGGCACAUGUGUCCGGGAAGGCGGCGCCGCCAUAUCGCAAGCCCGUAUACCGGCCCGAGCGCACCGUCGGAG
rnacentral:ncRNA from 2 species